UUUUCUUUUCUCACUCCUCCCUAUCUUUCAUUCCUUUCUCCUCCAUUAAGAUGCGUACUCCAUUGAUUUUUCAUUUCAUUUCGUAAUCUGAUUUUUCCAUUGAAGCAUAAUCUGAGUUUUCUCUCCUCCAUUGAAACUGAGAUUAAUGGAUUCAUGAGUGAAUGGAUGCAUUGAAGCGACUUUGAGGAUACAUCGGGUUUUUGUUUUCAGACCCAUGGCUUCAUAAUCAGUUCACUCAAGUUGAGUUUUGGCAUUGAAAUCUCAGGAUUUUGGAUAGGUAUAUGCAAAUAACAUGUAAAUCCUUUAAGCAAAGUUGCUUGAAUCUGUCAGCUAGCCCUGGUGGCCCUGAUACAACUGAGCUUUAGCAACUCUGAUCUUCCCUUCCUCGACAGUAAGCUAUGCUUUACGCACCUCCUUUGGCCGCUGUACUAGCCAUUUGGAAAAGCUCUCGAUAUUGAACUUUCAAGGUCGAAUAUGCAAACUAUUCUGUGCAUACUCAAAUGCCUGAUAACCAGCCAAUUUUUUAUCCUGAGAAGAAGGGAGAUUUUGUUUGCAGUAAUCAAGCCUAAUCAAUGUGUUCCUCUAAGUUAAAUAUCGAGUGUUACAGUUUUAUCCGUGUACAAGAGUAGCUGGGUACAUCCUUGACACACACGAGUCUAGAAGUUUGGGUUAACAUUCGAGGCUUAUUGCAUUAUUAGGCAAAUCAGGACUUAUCUAAGUAGUCAGGCCUUAGUAAUUUAAGCUUAUUGAAGCAAAUUUAGAGCUCUUUGAAGCAGUUUCUCUUAUGGGAAUUUGUGUAGGUUGAUACAUGUGGUUAAAAAAAAAAUCUCUUAAUAUUACGUUCAGAAUGAUCCUCUUUUAGAAGCGAAAACUACUUGUGGGUCUCUUUUGUAUGAACUUCAGAUGAUAUGGGAUAAAAUGGGCAAGCCAAAAACAACUAUGAUAAAAUGUUACUUGAGGUUGAACAAGAAUGCAUAGAAGUAGACACGAGAAAAGUUGAUGCAGCUAACUGCUCUAGAACUUAGCUACAUCUGGCUAUAUAUUGAUGAUUCAGAGGCAAAACUUGCAGCCAUUUAUUCUGACAUAUGUAAUAGUUUUUGUAAUUAAUUUGUAAACUAGGUAGGAUUAGUAACCUUUACUCCUUUUAAGAAUACUUGAUUAGGUUUCUAAUUUUAUAAUGCCCUGUGCGAUUCCUAUGA